AUCUUCCGCAAUGGACGAAAGUCUGACGGAGCAACGCCGCGUGAGUGAUGAAGGUUUUCGGAUCGUAAAACUCUGUUGUUAGGGAAGAACAAGUACAAGAGUAACUGCUUGUACCUUGACGGUACCUAACCAGAAAGCCACGGCUAACUACGUGCCAGCAGCCGCGGUAAUACGUAGGUGGCAAGCGUUGUCCGGAAUUAUUGGGCGUAAAGCGCGCGCAGGCGGUCCUUUAAGUCUGAUGUGAAAGCCCACGGCUCAACCGUGGAGGGUCAUUGGAAACUGGGGGACUUGAGUGCAGAAGAGGAGAGUGGAAUUCCACGUGUAGCGGUGAAAUGCGUAGAGAUGUGGAGGAACACCAGUGGCGAAGGCGACUCUUUGGUCUGUAACUGACGCUGAGGCGCGAAAGCGUGGGGAGCAAACAG
rnacentral:rRNA from 1 species